CGAGAUCAGGGAACUAUCGCCGGCAGCAAUGCGGGAGGAAAGUCCGGACACCAUAGAGCAUCGUAGCGGGUAAUGCCCGUCCGUCGUGAGGCGAGGACAAGUGCAACAGAAAGUAUGUAUGGCUUAAAGGGAAACUUUUAGGUGCGUAGUGAAACCAGGUAAACUCUACGAGGUGCAAGUCCAUGUAGGUGAGCGUUGAGUCUGCUCGAGGAGCUCACGGGUAGGAUGCUUGAGCCAUGGGGUAACUCAUGGCCUAGAGGAAUGAUAGUUGAAUACAGAAUCCGGCUUAUUCCUGAUCUCGGUUU
rnacentral:RNase_P_RNA from 1 species